rnacentral:misc_RNA from 1 species
GAAAUGCGAUAAGUAAUGUGAAUUGCAGAAUUCGGUGAAUCAUCGAAUCUUUGAACGCACAUUGCGCCCCCUGGUAUUCCGGGGGGCAUGCCUGUUCGAGCGUCAUUUCACCACUCAAGCCUCGCUUGGUAUUGGGCAACGCGGUCCGCCGCGUGCCUCAAAUCGACCGGCUGGGUCUUCUGUCCCCUAAGCGUUGUGGAAACUAUUCGCUAAAGGGUGUUCGGGAGGCUACGCCGUAAAACAACCCCAUUUCUAAGGUUGACCUCGGAUCAGGUAGGGAUACCCGCUGAACUUAAGC